AGAGUUUGAUCCUGGCUCAGAACGAACGCUGGCGGCAGGCCUAACACAUGCAAGUCGAACGAUAAGCCACCUUCGGGUGGUGGACAGUGGCAGACGGGUGAGUAACGCGUGGGAACGUGCCUUUCGGUUCGGAAUAACCCAGGGAAACUUGGGCUAAUACCGGAUACGCCCUUCGGGGGAAAGAUUCAUUGCCGAAAGAUCGGCCCGCGUCGGAUUAGCUAGUUGGUGGGGUAAUGGCUCACCAAGGCGACGAUCCGUAGCUGGUCUGAGAGGAUGACCAGCCACACUGGGACUGAGACACGGCCCAGACUCCUACGGGAGGCAGCAGUGGGGAAUAUUGGACAAUGGGCGAAAGCCUGAUCCAGCCAUGCCGCGUGGGUGAAGAAGGCCUUAGGGUUGUAAACCCCUUUCAGCGGGGAAGAUAAUGACGGUACCCGCAGAAGAAGUCCCGGCUAACUCCGUGCCAGCAGCCGCGGUA
rnacentral:rRNA from 1 species